UAUGCCCUACAGGUGCCAAACAUGGCACCAGAGAUGUGGCUGCCUGGCCACACCAGUGAUAGAGGGCACAGAGAAAGUGGCUAUUUCUACACUCAGUACCCAGACCCAUGGGCACUAAGAAUGGUUUGUAGCCUCACAUUU